GACGAACGCUGGCGGCGUGCUUAACACAUGCAAGUCGAACGGUGAACCAGGGCUUGCCCUGGGGAUCAGUGGCGAACGGGUGAGUAACACGUGGGCAACCUGCCCCUGACUCUGGGAUAACUUCGGGAAACCGAAGCUAAUACCGGAUACGACCUCUGACGGCAUCGUCGGAGGUGGAAAGUUUUUCGGUCAGGGAUGGGCCCGCGGCCUAUCAGCUUGUUGGUGGGGUAAUGGCCCACCAAGGCGACGACGGGUAGCCGGCCUGAGAGGGCGACCGGCCACACUGGGACUGAGACACGGCCCAGACUCCUACGGGAGGCAGCAGUGGGGAGUAUUGCGCAAUGGGCGAAAGCCUGACGCAGCGACGCCGCGUGAGGGAUGAAGGCCUUCGGGUUGUAAACCUCUUUCAGCAGGGACGAAGCGAAAGUGACUGUACCUGCAGAAGAAGCACCGGCUAACUACAUGCCAGCCGCCGCGGUAAAAC
rnacentral:rRNA from 1 species